rnacentral:rRNA from 1 species
AACGAACGCUGGCGGCGUGGAUAAGACAUGCAAGUCGAACGAGAACUUCAGCUGUAGCAAUACAGUUGAAGUUUUAGUGGCGAACGGGUGCGUAACACGUGGGCAAUCUGCCGAGAAGUGGGGGAUAGCUCGCCGAAAGGCGAAUUAAUACCGCAUAUGAUCAGGGACGACAUCUUCCCAACAUCAAAGCCGGGGCAACCUGGCGCUUCUUGAUGAGCCCGCGGCCUAUCAGCUAGUUGGUGAGGUAACGGCUCACCAAGGCUUUGACGGGUAGCUGGUCUGAGAGGACGACCAGUCACUGGAACUGAGACACGGUCCAGACACCUACGGGUGGCAGCAGUCGAGAAUUUUUCUCAAUGGGGGCAACCCUGAAGGAGCGACGCCGCGUGGAGGAUGAAGGUCUUCGGGUUGUAAACUCCUGUCAUUUGGGAACAAGCGUCGGUACGUAACUACUACCGGCUUGAUAGUACCAGAAGAGGAAGGGACGGCUAACUCUGUGCCAGCAGCCGCGGUAAUACAGAGGUCCCAAGCGUUGUUCGGAUUCAUUGGGCGUAAAGGGUGCGUAGGUGGCGCGCUAAGUCAGGUGUGAAAUCUCGGGGCUUAACUCCGAAACUGCAUUUGAUACUGGCGUGCUUGAGGACUGGAGAGGAGACUGGAAUUUACGGUGUAGCAGUGAAAUGCGUAGAGAUCGUAAGGAAGACCAGUGGCGAAGGCGGGUCUCUGGACAGUUCCUGACACUGAGGCACGAAGGCCAGGGGAGCAAACGGGAUUAGAUACCCCGGUAGUCCUGGCAGUAAACGGUGCACGUUUGGUGUGGGGGGGGAUUCGACCCCUUCUGCGCCGGAGCUAACGCGUUAAACGUGCCGCCUGGGGGAGUACGGUCGCAAGAUUA